UCUCCGUUGGUGAACCAGCGGAGGGAUCAUUACCGAGUUUUCAACUCCCAAACCCCUGUGAACAUACCCAACGUUGCUUCGGCGGGACCGCCCCGGCGCCCUCGGCGUCCCGGAACCGGGCGCCCGCCGGAGGACCCAAACUCUUGUUUAAACCAUAGUGGCAUAUUCCGAGUCUCACAAGAAAAAUGAAUCAAAACUUUCAACAACGGAUCUCUUGGCUCUG
rnacentral:misc_RNA from 1 species